rnacentral:rRNA from 1 species
AAAACAUCGCCUCCUGCAACACAACCAAGUAUAGGAGGUCCAGCCUGCCCAGUGACCACAAGUUCAACGGCCGCGGUAUUCUGACCGUGCAAAGGUAGCGCAAUCACUUGUCUUUUAAAUAGAGACCUGUAUGAAUGGCUAAACGAGGGCUUAACUGUCUCCCUUUUCCAGUCAGUGAAAUUGAUCUACCCGUGCAGAAGCGGGUAUAAUAAUACAAGACGAGAAGACCCUUUGGAGCUUAAGGUACAAAACUCAACCACGCAAAGCAACUCAAUAAAAAGCAAAAACUUCGUGGAAAAUGAAAUUUUACCUUCGGUUGGGGCGACCACGGAGGAAAAAAAAGCCUCCAAGUGGAUUGGGAUUAUCUCCUAAAACCAAGAGAAACACCUCUAAGCCACAGAACAUCUGACCAAACAUGAUCCGGCCCAUAGGCCGAUCAACGAACCAAGUUACCCUAGGGAUAACAGCGCAAUCCUCUCCCAGAGUCCAUAUCGACGAGAGGGUUUACGACCUCGAUGUUGGAUCAGGACAUCCUAAUGGUGCAGCCGCUAUUAAGGGUUCGUU